AUUGUGUUCAUUUGAACACAGUACCAAGAGGAAGAAGGAAUCUGCCCUGCCAGUCGCAAAAGCUACAUGGCACGGGGUGUUUCGACAGCCCUGCCAGACUCAAGGGCUACCUGGGGCGUUGCCGGCCCUGCCAGAUGCAAGGACCGGCCCUCAGGUGAAAGAAAAGUCGAUCCAGCCGCCGUGCCAAAAUGUCAUACAAAUAUGCCCGAGUGCAAGACGCUACUUGGGGCAUCUAUAGCCCAGCCAGACGCAAAGGCUAACCCUAAAAUCACUAGCCCAGCCAGACGCAAAGCUAACCCUAAAAUCACUAGCCCAGCCAGACGCAAAGGCCAUCCCUAAAAUCACUAGCCCAGCCAGACGCAAAGGCUAACCCUAAAAUCACUAGCCCAGCCAGACGCAAAGGCCAUCCCUAAAAUCACUAGCCCAGCCAGACACAAAGGCUAACCCUAAAAUCACUAGCCCAGCCAGACGCAAAGGCUAACCCUAAAAUCACUAGCCCAGCCAGACGCAAAGGCUAACCCUAAAAUCACUAGCCCAGCCAGACGCAAAGGCCAUCCCUAAAAUCACUAGCCCAGCCAGACGCAAAGGCCAUCCCUAAAAUCACUAGCCCAGCCAGACGCAAAGGCCAUCCCUAAAAUCACUAGCCCAGCCAGACGCAAAGGCUAAC